rnacentral:rRNA from 1 species
CGAUCCAAGAUCAGUCUUCAUUGUGAAUUGUGCUAUCGCGGGCUUGGGUUUGUUUAACCCAUCCCGACGCCAACUUAACGCCGAAUCGAGCACUAGGAUCGAGCUUCGGCUCCAUCUAACGAUCUCUCCGGCAAACACCCGGUCGAAAGACUGGGUGCCCAAUACGUUUUUACGAUUGGUAACUGGAAAGAACCAAAUGACCUAAAGCAAAAAUGCAGUGGUUUUGGUGUCGUGUCCCUCUCGGGCCGACGCCACCCUGUACAUUAUACCUAAUACAUUACAACUUUCAGCGGUGGAUGUCUAGGUUCCCACAACGAUGAAGAACGCAGCGAAAUGCGAUACGUAAUGCGAAUUGCAAGACCUCGUGAAUCAUUAAGAUUUUGAACGCACAUUGCGCUUUCGGGAUUUUCCCGGUAGCAUGCUUGUCUGAGUGUCUGUGGAUCCCACUCAGCGCUGUUGCCUUUCUUUUGGCAUCGGCUGCUGGUUGUUUUGGCUUUGACCGCCUCGUUUGCGGUCUCUGCUCAAGUUCUACGGUUACCGUACGUGCAUAGAUCUAGAACCCUCAACCUGUCUUGCUCAAGACGGCGUUGACACUCUUGUCUAUCUCUGGUAGAAGUUGGCUCGUUCCGAUUUUUUUCUAGAGUUUGUUUAGGAGUCGUCAUGCUAAAGCCGUUUCUGUAGCUUUGUUGGUGGAGCGGACCUAGGUCUAGCUAUGGCAUGUAAUGUCGUGGCUAUCCAAUUCCGGAUCUCAGAUCAAGCAAGAGGACCCGCCGAAUUUAAGCAUAUAAUUAAGCGGAGGAAAAGAAACUAACUAGGAUUCCCUCAGUAACGGCGAGUGAAGCGGGACUAGCUCACGAUGUGAAUCUGCGCUUUAUUGGCGCCGAAUUGUGGUCUGUAGACUUUGACGUUAUCUGCCGGGCCAAGUUCCUUGGAAAAGGACAGCUGAGAGGGUGAGACUCCCGUCCGCCUGGUUGAGUGAGUCAUUUGUCAACGAGUCGAGUUGUUUGGGAUUGCAGCUCUAAUUUGGUGGUAAAUUCCAUCUAAAGCUAAAUAUUGGUGGGAGACCGAUAGCGUACAAGUACCGUGAGGGAAAGAUGCAAAGAACUUUGAAAAGAGAGUUAAAGAGUACCUGAAACUGCUGAAACGGAAGCGAAGGAAACCAGUGUUUGUUUGUUCAUAUUUCCCUGGCCACUUGUGGUUUGGGCGCUGUGAGCUUGCGUGAGUUUGGGUUGGUUGAUCCCUUUGGAAGAGCGCAGUCAGAGUUGAUGUCUGUUGCUAGCACUGGGUUUGACUGAUGCAGACGAAAUGGUUUUCUUUACCCCGUCUUGAAACACGGACCAAGGAGUCUAACAUAUGUGCGAGUACAGGGGUGUCAAACCCCGGUGCGUAAUGAAAGUGACAGUGGUUGGAAUUUUGCACAAUCCGCCGGCCUCAAUCCUUCGGGAGAACGGUCUGAG